UUCGGCAUAGCUCAAUGGUAGAGCGGCGUCAGAAUACGCGAUAUGUGGUUCGAUUCCCAUUACCGACA
rnacentral:tRNA from 1 species